rnacentral:miRNA from 1 species
AGGCAGUGUAUCAAUAGCUGGCU